AAAGACUUAAGUUAAAUAAACUAAAAACCUUCAAAGUUUUAAAUGGACACCACCAGUCUUUA
rnacentral:tRNA from 1 species